rnacentral:rRNA from 1 species
UACAGAGGUCCCAAGCGUUACUGAGAAUCACUGGGUUUAAAGGGUGCGUAGGUGGUCCGUUAAGUCAGUUGUGAAAUCCCCGGGCUCAACCCGGGAACUGCUUCUGAUACUGGCGGACUUGAGGCCAGUAGAGGUCACUGGAACUGACGGUGGAGCGGUGAAAUGCGUAGAUAUCGUCAGGAACGCCGGUGGUGAAGACGGGUGACUGGGCUGGUUCUGACACUGAGGCACGAAAGCGUGGGGAGCGAACAGG